rnacentral:rRNA from 1 species
GAUGAACGCUAGCUACAGGCUUAACACAUGCAAGUCGAGGGGAAACGAUAGAGGAAGCUUGCUUUUUCUAGGCGUCGACCGGCGCACGGGUGAGUAACGCGUAUCCAACCUGCCCAUCACUUGGGGAUAACCUUGCGAAAGUAAGACUAAUACCCAAUGACGUCUCUAGAAGACAUCUGAAAGGGAUUAAAGAUUUAUCGGUGAUGGAUGGGGAUGCGUCUGAUUGGCUUGUUGGCGGGGUAACGGCCCACCAAGGCGACGAUCAGUAGGGGUUCUGAGAGGAAGGUCCCCCACAUUGGAACUGAGACACGGUCCAAACUCCUACGGGAGGCAGCAGUGAGGAAUAUUGGUCAAUGGACGAGAGUCUGAACCAGCCAAGUAGCGUGCAGGAUGACGGCCCUAUGGGUUGUAAACUGCUUUUAUAAGGGAAUAAAGUGAGAGUCGUGACUCUUUUUGCAUGUACCUUAUGAAUAAGGACCGGCUAAUUCCGUGCCAGCCGCCGCGGUAA